GCUUGCUUCGGCAAGCAUAUACUAAAAUUGGAAUGAUACAGAGAAGAUUAGCAUGGCCCCUGCAAAAGGAUGAAAAGCAAACUUGUAAAAAUGUUCUGUAUUUAA